rnacentral:lncRNA from 1 species
GCACUUAAGGUCUUAGCCUAGCGGUUGAAGGGACUUGUUCCCUUCCUCUAUAUCCUGGGUUCAAACCUCACCGUGCACGCUUAUCAUCCCCACGGUGCCUUACAUGCUCAUUGGGUUUGUAGGAUGUUCAGUGAGCCGUGAGAUUAGUCGUGGUGCGUGCAAGCUAGCCCGGACACCCACGUAAAUAAAAAAAAAAUGAGAUAGCAUAAUCAUAUUAUUAGUAACAAAAGG